GAUUAACGCUAGCGGCAGGCAUAAUACAUGCAAGUUGAACGGCAGCACAGGUAGCAAUACUGGGUGGCGAGUGGCGCACGGGUGCGUAACACGUAUGCAACCUACCCUAUACAGGCGAAUAACCUUUAGAAAUGAGGGCUAAUACGCCGUAGUAUUACAGAUGGGCAUCUAUUUGUAAUUAAAGAUUUAUCGGUAUAGGAUGGGCAUGCGUCCCAUUAGUUAGUUGGUAAGGUAUCGGCUUACCAAGACGAUGAUGGGUAGUGGAUCUGAGAGGACUUACCCCCACACUGGUACUGAGACACGGACCAGACUCCUACGGGAGGCAGCAGUAAGGAAUAUUGGGCAAUGGCCGCGAGGCUGACCCAGCCAUGCCGCGUGCAGGAAGACGGCCUUAUGGGUUGUAAACUGCUUUUAUACGGGAAUAAUAGAGUGUACGCGUACAUUUAUGCAAGUAUCGUAUGAAUAAGCAUCGGCUAACUCCGUG
rnacentral:rRNA from 1 species